rnacentral:rRNA from 1 species
UCCUGGCUCAGGAUGAACGCUGGCGGUGUGCUUAACACAUGCAAGUCGAACGAUGAAGCCAGCUUGCUGGUGGAUUAGUGGCGAACGGGUGAGUAACACGUGAGUAACCUGCCCUUGACUCUGGGAUAAGCCUGGGAAACUGGGUCUAAUACCGGAUAUGACUCCUCAUCGCAUGGUGGGGGGUGGAAAGCUUUUUGUGGUUUUGGAUGGACUCGCGGCCUAUCAGCUUGUUGGUGAGGUAAUGGCUCACCAAGGCGACGACGGGUAGCCGGCCUGAGAGGGUGACCGGCCACACUGGGACUGAGACACGGCCCAGACUCCUACGGGAGGCAGCAGUGGGGAAUAUUGCACAAUGGGCGAAAGCCUGAUGCAGCGACGCCGCGUGAGGGAUGACGGCCUUCGGGUUGUAAACCUCUUUCAGU